CAGCCGCCGCGGUAAUGCGAAGGGGGCUAGCGUUGCUCGGAAUGACUGGGCGUAAAGGGCGCGUAGGCGGAUUGUUUUGUCGGGCGUGAAAUUCCAGGGCUCAACCUUGAGUGGUCGUUCGAGACGGACAGUCUUGAGUACGGUAGGGGCAAAGGGAAUUUCCGGUGGAGCGGUGAAAUGCAUUGAGAUCGGGAAGAACACCAACGGCGAAAGCACUCUGCUGGGCCGACACUGACACUGAGAGACGAAAGCUAGGGGAGCAAAUGGGAUUAGAUACCCCUGUAGUCCCUGUCUCUUAUAA
rnacentral:rRNA from 1 species